ACGGGAGGCAGCAGUGGGGAAUAUUGCACAAUGGGCGCAAGCCUGAUGCAGCUAUGCCGCGUGAGGGAAGAAGGUUUUCGGAUUGUAAACCUCUGUCAACAGGGACGAAAAUGACGGUACCUGUGAAGGAAGCUCCGGCUAACUACGUGCCAGCAGCCGCGGUAAUACGUAGGGAGCAAGCGUUAUCCGGAAUUACUGGGUGUAAAGGGAGUGUAGGCGGGACUGUAAGUCAGAUGUGAAAUAUGCCGGCUCAACUGGCAGACUGCAUUUGAAACUGCGGUUCUUGAGUGAAGUAGAGGUAAGCGGAAUUCCUAGUGUAGCGGUGAAAUGCAUAGAUAUUAGGAGGAACAUCAGUGGCGAAGGCGGCUUACUGGGCUUUAACUGACGCUGAGGCUCGAAAGCGUGGGGAGCAAACAGGAUUAGAUACCCUGGUA
rnacentral:rRNA from 1 species